rnacentral:lncRNA from 1 species
UCUUUUAGUAUUAAGUGGAGGGAGGAGGGAAGGGGAAUAUUCAUAAAUGAGAUUCGAUCUCUCAUCACAUGGUGAAGGAUGAGGGCCUCGCACCAGGUGAGUUACCUUCCAAACGUUGAACAUGAGGUUCAAUCCUCAGAAGUGGAAGUUCUUAAUAUGGUGGAGAACAAUAUCUACAAUAGAAAAAGGGAAAAGUGAGAUUUGAAUCAUAGUAUAUUAGUUAUUAAUCUUUGUUCUACAGUAAAUCUCUUUAUUUCAUCCAUCAUAUUUGAUGUGAAGGUAUUUGACUGAACAAAUUUAAGAAAUACUUGUUUUGUUAAAAUCGCUCAGAUUAAGGUUGCUUUUCUGAUUUUGUUACUGCAUAUAUCAUAUAAUAUAUGGAAAUAAUUUGUUAAAGAGGUAUACUAAUCUUAUUCCUUAACAACUUUUUGAUUAUUUUCGAAUCAAAGUUUAUGCAAUUUGCUAGGUCUACUGGUAUAAUGGUUUUCCAGUUUGUCGAUACUUUGCUAUGACCCAACACUCCUCAAAUCUUCCUAAUUUAGCGAAAUGGUUACCAAACUCUAAAAAGCAACUUGGCAUAUAUUUCAUCAAGAGCCCUCGUACCUUAUGAAGAAGCUGAUGUUUUUCAAACUUCCUGAAAAGUAGAGAUAUUUUCAAUGGCAAGUUGACUAUCUUUGAAUUAGUUAUUAGAUCUGAUUUUAAUGAUGAAAAUAAUAUAUUUGCUUUUUGUAUAGGAACUCAUGUAUAACAUUUAAGAUUGAAUGAAUCAAUCAUAGAAGAUCAAGGAACUCAUGGAUAGCACACAAGAUUGAAGGAAUCAUUUAGAGAAAAUCAAGGAAAGCAUCCAAGAUUAAAAGAAUCAUUGAUACUGAUGGAAUCAAUUAAGGCUGGACUGAAGAAAUCAAAUCAAUCAAGAGUAUCGAAAAUCUUGCAAGAUAAUCAAUCAAGUAUACUAAAUCUGGAAGGAUCAAAAUUAAAGAAAGGAUAUCCGGU